rnacentral:lncRNA from 1 species
GGUUCACUUUCAGCAGGAGGCAGUUGCAGGACUUCUCACCUACAGCCUUGGCGAUCCGCUUAGGGUUGGUCACCGUGAGGUCAUCCCCCACCACCAGGAUGCCUGCAGUAGCUGUGAACUUAUGUCAAGCAUACUAGUUGUCCUGGUCAAUGGGAUCUUCAAUGGAGACCACUGGGUAGUCCUUGAUGAAGGACUUGUACAGGUCGGCCAGCUGGUUGGGUGUGAUGUACCAGCUGGCGUCAUCUGGAGACUUGAAGUCCAGGUCAUACUUGCCAGCCCUGUAGAACUCGGAGGCAGCCACAUCCAUGCUGAUGACAACCUGGUCAGUGUAGCUGGCCUUUGUAAUGGCAGACUUGAGCAGCUCCAGUGCUUCUUUGUU